CUUAAUAUAAGGCUGAAUCAGAGAGGUUUGGAGGAGGUUAUGGGUAUCAGAGAUGCUGAGAAAGUAUUGCUUGCCAUGUGGAGAGCCAGAGAAAGAGCACCAUGAAAACUCUGUGGAAUUUAAUCCUGCAACUCACACAGUGGUUGUACCAGCAUGAAAAGAAAUAUAUUUUGAGGCUCACUGUCCCAAUGAGCUGUGAAGAAGAUGAAGUGAUGGGUAGCUCUUUCCCCUUCCAUCCCAUAACUUCCCAUGAAAUUCCUCUUGUGUAUCUCAGUUCAAGUGCUGAAACUGUGGAAAUUUUCUUGCAAGUUUUUAAAGAAACCUCUUUUCCAGUGGUUAAUCUCCUCCUUGUUUCCAGAAAAAUAUCUUCAGUAUAUUCUCACUGCAAAGCAGGCACUGAAAGAAUGAUCUUCUCCUUCCACUUGAAUUAUUAAAGUAGGCUGCCUAAGUUCUCCUCCUGUCAAAGUACAGCCCUCACUUUCAGAUGCUUAUGCAACAGAAGAAUACAAGUCUCUGCAUUCUGAGAUUCACACAGCACUUGCUACUAUAAAAGUGCUUUCCUUUUUUCUUCAUUUUUCCACAAAAUGUUGUCAGCCAGUUGAAUUUUUCUUAUAAAGUGGAGGGACAGUGAAAUGUCAUAAUAAACCUCACCAAGUUUCCUGAUGGACUUGUCA
rnacentral:lncRNA from 1 species